AUUGAACGCUGGCGGCAGGCUUAACACAUGCAAGUCGAGCGGGGUGAUGGUGCUUGCACUAUCACUUAGCGGCGGACGGGUGAGUAAUGCUUAGGAAUCUGCCUAUUAGUGGGGGACAACAUCUCGAAAGGGAUGCUAAUACCGCAUACGUCCUACGGGAGAAAGCAGGGGAUCACUUGUGACCUUGCGCUAAUAGAUGAGCCUAAGUCGGAUUAGCUAGUUGGUGGGGUAAAGGCCUACCAAGGCGACGAUCUGUAGCGGGUCUGAGAGGAUGAUCCGCCACACUGGGACUGAGACACGGCCCAGACUCCUACGGUAGGCAGCAGUGGGGAAUAUUGGACAAUGGGGGGAACCCUGAUCCAGCCAUGCCGCGUGUGUGAAGAAGGCCUUAUGGUUGUAAAGCACUUUAAGCGAGGAGGAGGCUACUUAGAUUAAUACUCUGGGAUAGUGGACGUUACUCGCAGAAUAAGCACCGGCUAACUCUGUGCCAGCCGCCGCCGUAA
rnacentral:rRNA from 1 species